rnacentral:rRNA from 1 species
AUUGAACGCUGGCGGCAGGCCUAACACAUGCAAGUCGAGCGGAUGAAGGGGGCUUGCUCCUGGAUUCAGCGGCGGACGGGUGAGUAAUGCCUAUGAAUCUGCCUGGUAGUGGGGGAUAACGUCCGGAUACGGGCGCUAAUACCGCAUACGUCCUGAUGUAGAAAGUGGGGGAUCUUCGGACCUCACGCUAUCAUAUGAGCCUAGGUCGGAUUAGCUAGUUGGUGGGGUAAAGGCCUACCAAGGCGACGAUCCGUAACUGGUCUGAGAGGAUGAUCAGUCACACUGGAACUGGAACACGGUCCAGAAUCCUACGAGAGGCAGCAGUGGGGGAUAUUGGACGAUGGGCGAAAGCCUGAACCAUGCAUGCCGCGUGUGUGAAGAAGGUAGUCGGAUUGUAAAGCACUUUAAGUUGGGAGGAAGGGAAGUAAGUUAAUCCCUUGCUGUUAUGACGUUACCCACAGAAUAAGCCCCGGCUAACUUCGUG